GAGAGCCCCGGCUCCGGCUCCGGGCCCGGCCCCGCUCUGCCCACGGAGGAGAAGCCGCGGCCCAGGCUGGACGUGGGUUCACCCUACCUGUUGCUCAUUUUCUGGCUGAUGAAUUGUAGGUCUCUGGUCAUGAGAGUUCACUGGGCAUAUCCUGGUAAGGGAAUUUUUAAAAAAUUUGGAUUUUUAAGAAAGAGUUUUCCUAAACUUACCCUGGGUCUGGCACCAACAGGCUGCCAGGAUGGGCUGAGAGCCUCCAUGGCAAGUGUGUGGGGACUAGUGAGAGCCCAUGGUGACCACGUGGGGAAAAAGAGGAGCCAAAAUCUCUGUGGCCACCAGCACUUUCCUUGCUGACCACUUGGCCCAAGGUCUCAAGCAUCUGGAUUUUUUUCUGUGUUUAACAUUUUUUUUUUGUGGGUUUGUUAACUCGUAAUGCCCAAGCCCGGGGAGAGGUCUGUCUCAUCCAGGAGAACAAAAACAGGGGAGGGGGGGUUACCUGUUAAAUGGCAAGGAGAUAAUAAAGGUGUUUCUGUUGUGUUUGGUUUUAGCUCAGACUGGCUCAUUACUCUGUGAAUCAGGAGUGGGGGUUAGAUGCAAAGCCCCACCCUCCAAAAGGCACGAGGAGCUGCCAGCAGGACCUUGUCUCCAGGGACCCUCAGCAGAAGCCCCUCACCACGGCUGAUCCCACCUCAUCUUCCUCCUCCUCUCCCUGCUCUGCCCGCAGAGCCUGGCCUGGAGCAUGAUGCGAUCCUGAUUUACAGCAGAGCCUGUCCAGGCUGCCCAGGGCUGCUGACCAGCACCGGGGGACACAGCCAGGCUGCAGAGGACACCGGGACGUGCCCACCCUGCCCACUGCACUGCGGGCCACUCGCCGGUGAAGAACGGAAGGCUGGAAGAAUAGGAAAAUUUUUUACAAAAAAGAAGAAAAGAAAGAAAAAGAGUCGCCAACCCCAGGAAAUCUGUGUUAAUUGCUUAUGAAUGUCUCUGUCUAAAAAAUUAUCGAAUUGAUGUUGUCGUGCUUUUUUUUGACAGCCUGUCUGUUACAUUUUUUUAAAAUAUUCAUGCACCGAAAUCUAAUUACUAGGCAAAUUUAAUGAUAAUGAAAUGAAGGCACUUUAGCAGAAAGCAUAGGGCCUUGUUAAUGUUUUCUCAGCCUCUGUCUUGUUCAUAUUUUUAAAAUUAUUUUUUUUACAACUGUCUUUCUUCCAUAUGAAAAAAAAAAGAUUGCUGAAAAUAAAACUCAGAUUGCCGAUAAUGUUUGUGGUGGU
rnacentral:lncRNA from 1 species